rnacentral:rRNA from 1 species
CACGUAGUUAGCCGGUGCUUAUUCUUCAGGUACCGUCAUUAGCAAGGGAUAUUAGCCCUCACCGUUUCUUCCCUGACAAAAGAGCUUUACAACCCGAAGGCCUUCUUCACUCACGCGGCAUUGCUGGAUCAGGCUUGCGCCCAUUGUCCAAAAUUCCCCACUGCUGCCUCCCGUAGGAGUCUGGACCGUGUCUCAGUUCCAGUGUGGCUGGUCGUCCUCUCAGACCAGCUACUGAUCGUCGCCUUGGUGAGCCUUUACCUCACCAACUAGCUAAUCAGAUAUCGGCCGCUCUAAAAGCAUAAGGCCCGAAGGUCCCCUACUUUCAUCCGUGGAUCGUAUGCGGUAUUAGCGUAACUUUCGCUACGUUAUCCCCCACUUCUAGGUACGUUCCGAUAUAUUACUCACCCGUUCGCCACUCGUCAGCGGAGCAAGCUCCCUGUUACCGUUCGACUUGCAUGUGUAAAGCAUGCCGCCAGCGUUCAAUCUGAGCCAGGAUCAAACU